GGUCAUAUAGUGUAGCGGUUAUCACUCCGGAUUUUGACUUGAUCAAACAACAACUUCCGGUAACCCCAGUUCGAAUCUGGGUAUGACCU